rnacentral:rRNA from 1 species
AUGGUGAUCGAGAGCGAGCAUGACUGGUCAUUGGAGUCGGCAUUGAAGCGACGCGCCAGCUAUGAAUGCCGCCCACGCCGCGCCCCGGUCUCCGCGCCUGUUCAAUGCCAGAGUGACGUGACUAGACGGGGUGGGAUGUCUAUCAACCACUUUCAAACCUGCUGCCCCAUUUGUCCUCCUGUUGGUAUUAAACAUGCGCAGUGCAAGAAACCAACUCUGACGCCCACAUUGACACACCCUUCGCUUGGCCUGGCCGGUGCCCGCUAUUUAUACGUAGCCAUGCUCGGCACCAUCUGCACAGCACCACAUCUGCUCCCUUUCCUCCUCCGUGAACCACCUCUGCCAUCACUGCGAGCUCUAGAGCGAUGUGGGAGAGCCUCUUGA